AGUUCUAAAGGACAGCUUCUAUAUUGCAAGAAUUGUAGAACAACUACAACCUGUUCGUACUAGGCAGUGCUGCAAUAUAAGAUAUAUUACCACUACAUGACAUAUAUCAUCAUGAUAAAAAACAAAACAAAUAAGGAUUUUAAUAUAGUUUGCUUAUUAUCUCAUAUUUUCUGCUAUGCAAUUAAUUUCUUUCGUGAAUGGAAUAGAAAGCAGGCAAAUUUGUCAUUUUCAUCACUGGUUAUUCUUUGUGAUAUAACUUAACGGAAUGGAGUCAAACAUCAUUUUAUGAUACAAUGUUUUUACGUAGCAUUAAAAGCAGAAAACCUGUUUCAUUAUAUAAUUGAAUAAAAAAUUACGUAUUUGUAAUUAAAUAAAACUGAGAAUGGAAAUGGGGAACAUGUCAAAGAGACAACAACCCG